AGGGUUUGACAUGCUGGAAGUAGCUCUCCGAAAGGAGUUGCCAUCCGUAACCAGUCGGAAAUCAGCACAGGUGCUGCAUGGCUGUCGUCAGCUCGUGCCGUGAGGUGUUGCCUUAAGUGGCGCAACGAGCGCAACCCUUGCCCUUAGUUGCCACUUCUUCAAUUUAUUGGAGGAAGCACUCUAAGGGGACCGCCCGCGUUAAGCGGGAGGAAGGUGAGGAUGACGUCAAGUCCGCAUGGCCCUUAUGUCCUGGGCUACACACGUGUUACAAUGCCGGCUACAAUAGGAAGCCAAGCCGUAAGGCGGAGCAAAUCCAGAAAAAGCCGGCUCAGUUCGGAUCGAGGGCUGCAACUCGCCCUCGUGAAGUUGGAAUCGCUAGUAAUGGCGCAUCAGCUACGGCGCCGUGAAUACGUUCCCGGGCCU
rnacentral:rRNA from 1 species